rnacentral:rRNA from 1 species
GUCCACGCCGUAAACGAUGAUUACUAGGUGUUUGACGGAUUAACCCGUUGAGUACCAAAGCUCACGCAUUAAGUAAUCCGCCUGGGGAGUACGGUCGCAAGGCUAAAACUCAAAGGAAUUGACGGGGGCCCGCACAAGCGGUGGAGUAUGUGGUUUAAUUCGAAGCAACGCGAAGAACCUUACCUGGCCUUGACAUUCUCGGACAACCUCAGAGAUGAGGCUUUCUCUUCGGAGACCGGGGGACAGAUGCUGCAUGGCU